CGGCCCCCCGGGACCAAAGGGAGAAAAGGUUAUUCAGCUAUAUUUUUUAUAUUUUGAAUAAUAAUCUCAGUCUAAAUGCCAUAUUUGAGUUACAUAUAAUGCUUAAAAUUCUAUCCAAUAUAUGCAAAUAUGUCUUUUUUACAAAACUAGUUUUUUUUAACAGAGUUAAAAAGGGAAAUAGUGUUAGAAUCUGAGUUUGACUGAUUAUGUGUAUUUUUCAGGGUUACCCAGGAGAAGACAGUAAAAUGGCAGGACCGCCCGGGCCCUUAGGUGAACCAGGCACUCCAGGAGAGAAGGGUGAACGUGGGGAACCGGGAGAUUACGGAUAUCAGGGUCAUGCAGGGGUCACAGGUGCCCGUGGAGCGAUCGGUCAGCAGGGAUCUCCUGUAAGUCUGAUGUGUGACCAACAAUGCAGCUCUGGUCCAAUACUGCUGCUGUCCACCUACAGUACAUAGACAGCAGUCAGUGCAUCAUUCUAACAGUGCACUGGAAAUUCAGCUCACAAUAGAGUUUGACCUUUGCAUGUGGUAUGUGUUUGAUGCAUGUCUUUGCAUCAGAAGUUGCAUCCUAUGAUACCUUUAAAUGCUGUCUAGGUAGGUGGCUCACUAGGAUUUGGAGCACAGAGUUUUUGUUGCAUAACUUUCUUAAUUAAUUUGCUGGAAAAUUUGACAUGCCAAAGCUAGUUUGUCAGGUUUUUUCUUUGGUUAAUUUUGGACACUGGCCACACGUCUCCAGACCGUGGGACAUCACACUGAAGUGUCUGUUUGCAAAAUGAAAUUAAAGCACAGUCUUUCAAUCACAAUUCACAAGCUCACUAACUUUUUUUUUUACAGGGAUCUCCUGGGCUUCCUGGUGAAGCAGGACCCAUAGGCGAGAAGGGAGUUCAGGUUUGUGACUAGCACACCACUUACACUAUUUAUGCUGUGUGUAGUUCAUAUACUGUGUGCAGUUUGUGACUUUUUUUUCUGUCUGCAUGAAAUACCUGGGGCCAGACUUACAAAAAUCUUCUUAAGAUAGUUAAUAAAAUUUGUUAAGAUAAAUUCCACAAAGUUCAUAAGAUUGUUUUGAAGUGCAUCUUCCGAGUAAACGCCUCCGGUAUGUGUGACUACUGAAUGUGGGGCUAUCCUAACUUUAAUCUUUAAGAAGAUUCUUUUCAAGAAUUAGAAUUCUUCUUAAGUUUUGUCUUAAGAAAAAUCAAAAAAAAAAAAACUCAGAACAUUCUUAAGAAGAAUUUUGAUGUGCUAAAAUAACUAAAACUGAAACUGAAUGAAAAACGAAUAAAACGUAU
rnacentral:lncRNA from 1 species